rnacentral:rRNA from 1 species
CUGACUCGGGCUACACACGUGCUACAAUGGGCGGUACAAAGGGCUGCGAACCCGCGAGGGGGAGCGAAUCCCAAAAAGCCGCUCUCAGUUCGGAUUGCAGGCUGCAACUCGCCUGCAUGAAGCCGGAAUCGCUAGUAAUCGCGGAUCAGCAUGCCGCGGUGAAUACGGUUCCCGGGCCUU